UACAGAGGGGGCAAGCGUUAUUCGGAAUUAUUGGGCGUAAAGAGCGUGUAGGCGGCUUGGUAGGUCUGCUGUGAAAACUCGGGGCUCAACCCCGAGACGUCGGUGGAAACCACCUUGCUAGAGUCCGGAAGAGGAGAGUGGAAUUCCUGGUGUAGCGGUGAAAUGCGCAGAUAUCAGGAAGAAUAUCCGUGGCGAAGGCGGCUACCUGGACCAGCACUGACACUGAGGCACGAAAGCGUGGGGAGCAAACAGG
rnacentral:rRNA from 1 species